rnacentral:rRNA from 1 species
GAUGAACGCUGGCGGCGUGCUUAACACAUGCAAGUCGAACGAAGCACUUAAGAUGAUUUCUUCGGACUGAAUCUUUUGUGACUUAGUGGCGGACGGGUGAGUAACGCGUGGGCAACCUGCCUCUGUCUGGGGGAUAACAGUUAGAAAUGACUGCUAAUACCGCAUAAGCGCACAUUACCGCAUGGUAGAGUGUGAAAACGUUAGUGGACAGAGAUGGACCCGCGUUAGAUUAGCCAGUUGGUGGGGUAACGGCCUACCAAAGCGACGAUCUAUAGCCGGCCUGAGAGGGCGACCGGCCACAUUGGGACUGAGACGACGGCCCAA